rnacentral:rRNA from 1 species
CCUACGGGAGGCAGCAGUGAGGAAUAUUGGUCAAUGGACGAGAGUCUGAACCAGCCAAGUAGCGUGAAGGAUGACUGCCCUAUGGGUUGUAAACUUCUUUUAUAUGGGAAUAAAAUGUUCCACGUGUGGGAUUUUGUAUGUACCAUAUGAAUAAGGAUCGGCUAACUCCGUGCCAGCAGCCGCGGUAAUACGGAGGAUCCGAGCGUUUUUCGGAUUUAUUGGGUUUAAAGGGAGCGUAGGUGGAUUGUUAAGUCAGUUGUGAAAGUUUGCGGCUCAACCGUAAAAUUGCAGUUGAAACUGGCAGUCUUGAGUACAGUAGAGGUGGGCGGAAUUCGUGGUGUAGCGGUGAAAUGCUUAGAUAUCACGAAGAACUCCGAUUGCGAAGGCAGUUCACUGGACUGCAACUGACACUGAGGCUCGAAAGUGUGGGUAUCAAACAGGAUUAGAUACCCCGGUAGUC